rnacentral:rRNA from 1 species
UACGUAGGGUGCAAGCGUUGUCCGGAAUUAUUGGGCGUAAAGAGCUCGUAGGCGGUCUGUCACGUCGGCUGUGAAAACCCGAGGCUCAACCUCGGGCCUGCAGUCGAUACGGGCAAACUAGAGUACUGCAGGGGAGACUGGAAUUCCUGGUGUAGCGGUGAAAUGCGCAGAUAUCAGGAGGAACACCCGGUGGCGAAGGCGGGUCUCUGGGCGAGUGAACUGACGUGGAG